AUUGAACGCUGGCGGCAGGCCUAACACAUGCAAGUCGAGCGGAGCGGCGGACGGGUGAGUAAUGCCUAGGAAUCUGCCUGGUGGGGGGGGAAAAGGUCGGGAAAGGGGCCCUAAUACCGCAUACGUUCAGAGAGGCCUGGGUGGGUUUAGCUAGUUGGGGGGUUAAAGGCCUACCAAGGCGACGAUCCGUAACUGGUCUGAGAGGAUGAUCAGUCACACUGGAACUGAGACACGGUCCAGACUCCUACGGGAGGCAGCAGUGGGGAAUAUUGGACAAUGGGCGAAAGCCUGAUCCAGCCAUGCCGCGUGUGUGAAGAAGGUCUUCGGAUUGUAAAGCACUUUAAGUUGGGAGGCGUUACCAACAGAAUAAGCACCGGCUAACUUCGUGCCAGCAGCCGCGGUAAUAC
rnacentral:rRNA from 1 species